rnacentral:rRNA from 1 species
ACAAGCAGCGGAGCAUUGUGGUUUUAAUUCGAAGCAACGCGAAGAACCUUACCAGAUCUUGACAUCCAAUUGACCAUCUUUUAAUUCGAGAUUUUGCCUUCGGGUACAAUUGAGACAGGUGGUGCAUGGUUGUCGUCAGCUCGUGUCGUGAGAUGUUGGGUUAAGUCCCGCAACGAGCGCAACCCUUGUGUUUUAGUUGCAAACAGGUCAAGCUGUGCACUCUAGACAGACUGCCGUGGACAACACGGAGGAAGGUGGGGAUGACGUCAAAUCAUCAUGCCCCUUAUGAUCUGGGCUACACACGUGCUACAAUGGCCGGUACAACGGGCAGCGAAGGAGCGAUCCGGAGCGAAUCCUAAAAAGCCGGUCCCAGUUCGGAUUGCAGGCUGAAACUCGCCUACAUGAAGUUGGAGUUGCUAGUAAUCGCGAAUCAGAAUGUCGCGGUGAAUGCGUUCCCGGGUCUU